rnacentral:rRNA from 1 species
UACGUAGGGGGCUAGCGUUGUCCGGAAUCAUUGGGCGUAAAGAGCGUGUAGGCGGCCCGGUAAGUCCGCUGUAAAAGUCAAAGGCUCAACCUUUGAAUGUCAGUGGAUACUGCCGGGCUAGAGUCCGGAAGAGGCGAGUGGAACUCCUGGUGUAGCGGUGGAAUGCGCAGAUAUCAGGAGGAACACCGGUGGCGAAGGCGCACAUCUGGCCCGAUACUGACGCUGAGGCGCGAAAGCUAGGGGAGCAAACGGG